rnacentral:rRNA from 1 species
AGAUUGAACGCUGGCGGCAUGCCUAACACAUGCAAGUCGAGCGGCAGCGCGGGGGCGACCCUGGCGGCGAGCGGCGGACGGGUGAGUAAGGCAUCGGAAUCUGCCCUGAUGUGGGGGAUAACGUAGGGAAACUUACGCUAAUACCGGAUAUCCCCAUCAGGUCGCAUGGCCAGGUGAGGAAAUGGGUUUCCGCUUCGGGAGGGCUCGCGGCCUAUCAGCUAGUUGGUGAGGUAAAGGCCCACCAAGGCGACGACGGGUAGCUGGUCUGAGAGGAUGAUCAGCCACACUGGGACUGAGACACGGCCCAGACUCCUACGGGAGGCAGC